CCUACGGGAGGCAGCAGUGGGGAAUAUUGCACAAUGGGCGCAAGCCUGAUGCAGCCAUGCCGCGUGUGUGAAGAAGGCCUUCGGGUUGUAAAGCACUUUCAGCGGGGAGGAAGGCGGUGAGGUUAAUAACCUCAUCGAUUGACGUUACCCGCAGAAGAAGCACCGGCUAACUCCGUGCCAGCAGCCGCGGUAAUACGGAGGGUGCAAGCGUUAAUCGGAAUUACUGGGCGUAAAGCGCACGCAGGCGGUCUGUCAAGUCGGAUGUGAAAUCCCCGGGCUCAACCUGGGAACUGCAUUCGAAACUGGCAGGCUAGAAGCUUGGAGAGGGGGGUAGAAUUCCAGGUGUAGCGGUGAAAUGCGUAGAGAUCUGGAGGAAUACCGGUGGCGAAGGCGGCCCCCUGGACAAAGACUGACGCUCAGGUGCGAAAGCGUGGGGAGCAAACCGGAUUAGAUACCCCGGUAGUC
rnacentral:rRNA from 1 species